UACGUAGGGUGCAAGCGUUGUCCGGAUUUACUGGGUUUAAAGGGUGUGUAGGCGGAUUGAUAAGUCGGUGAUGAAAUCGAGUCGCUUAACGAUUCGGCUGUUACCGAUACUGUUGGUCUUGAGAAUAAACAAAGCAGCUGGAAUGUGUAGUGUAGCGGUGAAAUGCGUAGAUAUUACACAGAACACCAAUUGCGAAGGCAGGUUGCUGGUUUAUUUCUGACGCUGAGGCACGAAAGCGUGGGUAGCGAACAGG
rnacentral:rRNA from 1 species